rnacentral:rRNA from 1 species
GGAUUAGGCAUGCAAGUCGAGCGAUCCCGCAAGGGAUAGCGGCAAAAGGGUGAGUAACACGUGGGUAACCUACCCCCGAGCCUGGGAUAACACUGCGAAAGCGAUGCUAAUACCGGAUGAGGCCNCNACCUCCAAAGAGGAUGUGGGAAAAGGCGGGGAUCUCCGCAAGGAGACCUGUCGUUUGGGGAUGGGCCCGCGGCCUAUCAGCUUGUUGGUGGGGUAACGGCCCACCAAGGCGAAGACGGGUAGCUGGUCUGAGAGGAUGGUCAGCCACACUGGGACUGAGACACUGCCCAGACUCCUACGGGAGGCUGCAGUCGAGAAUCUUUCGCAAUGCCCGAAAGG